AGGAUUCCCUCAGUAACGGCGAGUGAAGCGGGAAGAGCUCAAGCUUAAAAUCUCCACGCAAGUGGCGAAUUGUAGUCUAUUGAGGCUGUUGUCAGCAUAGCGACCUGGGAAAAGUCCCUUGGAAGAGGGCAGCAUAGAGGGUGAUACUCCCGUCUCUGCCCAGGUUGUCUGUGUGUACGACACGCUUUCUUUGAGUCGAGUUGUUUGGGAAUACAGCUCAAAGUAGGUGGUAAAUUCCAUCUAAAGCUAAAUAUUGGCACGAGACCGAUAGCGAACAAGUACCGUGAGGGAAAGAUGAAAAGAACUUUGAAAAGAGAGUUAAAGAGUACCUGAAACUGUUGAAAGGGAACCGUAUCGUUUCUAGUGUGUAUCCUUUGCAUAUUUCAUUGGCGGUCGCAAGAUUGCUGGUGCCCUGUGCAAGGGUGUGACGUCAGAGUCAGUUGACAUUGCGGGAGAUGGGUAGUGAGGAGGUGCGUCACUUUAGUGAAAGUUACAGCUCGCUGCCUAGUAGCCGUGGUGAAGACUGAGGUGCCUACAACAUGCUCUGGGGUCUGCUGUUAUCUCGUGUUUUUGAUUGCCUGGAUAGCUUGCUAUGCUGGUGAUGAAGGAUGCGAUCGGUGAUGGUCGAAACCUCUGC
rnacentral:rRNA from 1 species